UACAGAGAGUGCAAGCGUUGUUCGGAAUUAUUGGGCGUAAAGCGCGUGUAGGCGGCUAGGCAAGUCGGGUGUGAAAGCCCUCAGCUCAACUGAGGAAGUGCGCCCGAAACUGCUUGGCUUGAGUGCCGGAGAGGAUGGCGGAAUACCCCAAGUAGAGGUGAAAUUCGUAGAUAUGGGGUGGAACACCGGUGGCGAAGGCGGCCAUCUGGACGGUAACUGACGCUGAGACGCGAAAGCGUGGGUAGCAAACAGG
rnacentral:rRNA from 1 species